AGGUCAUAACAAGGCUUCCGUAGGUGAACCUGCGGAAGGAUCAUUACCUUUCUGGCUAUUUAAUAGCUUGUCUGGGGGCUGUAGUUUCUGCAGUCCCUGACUACAUCCGUGUUUUUUGCGUACUACAUGUUUCCUCGGCGGGCUUGCUUGCCGGCUGCGGACGAAACUAAAAACUACUUUGUCAAUUGCAAUCAGCGUCUGAAUUAUAUAAUAAUUACAA
rnacentral:misc_RNA from 1 species